CUACGGGAUGCAGCAGUGGGGAAUAUUGGACAAUGGGGGAAACCCUGAUCCAGCAAUGCCGCGUGUGUGAAGAAGGCCUGCGGGUUGUAAAGCACUUUCGGUUGGGAGGACUGCUUCUAGCACUAAUAUUGUUGGAAGUUGACGUUACCUUCAGAAGAAGCACCGGCUAACUCCGUGCCAGCAGCCGCGGUAAUACGGAGGGUGCAGCGUUAAUCGGACUUACUGGGCGUAAAGCGCGCGUAGGCGGCUAGAUCAGUCGGGUGUGAAAGCCCCGGGCUUAACCUGGGAACUGCAUCCGAUACUGUCUAGCUUGAGUACAGGAGAGGAGAGUGGAAUUCCACAUGUAGCGGUGAAAUGCGUAGAUAUGUGGAGGAGCACCAAUGGCGAAGGCAGCUCUCUGGCCUGAUACUGACGCUGAGGUGCGAAAGCGUGGGGAGCAAACAGGAUUAGAUACCCUAGUAGUC
rnacentral:rRNA from 1 species